AUUGAACGCUGGCGGCAGGCUUAACACAUGCAAGUCGAGCGGGGAAAGGUAGCUUGCUACCUGACCUAGCGGCGGACGGGUGAGUAAUGCUUAGGAAUCUGCCUAUUAGUGGGGGACAACAUCUCGAAAGGGAUGCUAAUACCGCAUACGUCCUACGGGAGAAAGCAGGGGACCUUCGGGCCUUGCGCUAAUAGAUGAGCCUAAGUCGGAUUAGCUAGUUGGUGGGGUAAAGGCCUACCAAGGCGACGAUCUGUAGCGGGUCUGAGAGGAUGAUCCGCCACACUGGGACUGAGACACGGCCCAGACUCCUACGGGAGGCAGCAGUGGGGAAUAUUGGACAAUGGGGGGAACCCUGAUCCAGCCAUGCCGCGUGGGGGAAGAAGGCCUUUUGGUUGUAAAGCACUUUAAGCGAGGAGGAGGCUACCGAGAUUAAUACUCUUGGAUAGUGGACGUUACUCGCAGAAUAAGCACCGGCUAACUCUGUG
rnacentral:rRNA from 1 species